CCUACGGGCGGCAGCAGUGGGGAAUAUUUGACAAUGGGGGGAACCCUGAUCCAGCCAUGCCGCGUGUGUGAAGAAGGCCCUCGGGUUGUAAAGCACUUUCAGUGAGGAAGAACGCCUGGUGGUUAAUACCCAUCAGGAAAGACAUCACUCACAGAAGAAGCACCGGCUAACUCCGUGCCAGCAGCCGCGGUAAUACGGAGGGUGCGAGCGUUAAUCGGAAUUACUGGGCGUAAAGCGCGCGUAGGUGGCUUGAUAAGCCGGUUGUGAAAGCCCCGGGCUCAACCUGGGAACGGCAUCCGGAACUGUCAAGCUAGAGUGCAGGAGAGGAAGGUAGAAUUCCCGGUGUAGCGGUGAAAUGCGUAGAGAUCGGGAGGAAUACCAGUGGCGAAGGCGGCCUUCUGGACUGACACUGACACUGAGGUGCGAAAGCGUGGGUAGCAAACAGGAUUAGAUACCCCGGUAGUC
rnacentral:rRNA from 1 species